rnacentral:rRNA from 1 species
CCCUGAGAUGUUCUGGGCCGCACGCGCGCUACACUCGUCGAGAACACUGACGCAUUCAGCGAAGUUUUCCUGCAUCGAAAGGUGUGGGUACUCUUUUGAACCUGCGUCGUGAUGGGGAUAGAUUAUUGCAAUUAUUAAUCUUCAACGAGGAAUGCCUAGUAAGCGUGAGUCAUCAGCUCGCGUUGAUUACGUCCCUGCCCUUUGUACACACCGCCCGUCGCUCCUACCGAUUGGAUGGUCCGGUGAAAAUUUCGGACAGUGACGAUGCUGGCGGUCCGCCGCCGGCGCUGUCGCUGGAAGAUCUUUAAACCUUAUCAUUUAGAGGAAGGAGAANUCGUAACA